GCUCGGAUAACUCAGUGGUAGAGUGCGGGAUUGCAGUGAUAUGAAUCCAGAAUUCAUCAGACAACUUAUCCUGAAGUCGGCGGUUCGAUCCCGUCUCCGAGCU
rnacentral:tRNA from 1 species